CAGGGUCACUAACCACUACGCCAUUCGGUCGUCGUUUAAAAUACAAUUAUCUAAAAAUAAAAAAUAAAAAUCUAAUCCAUCCGUAUAUUUGUCUAAUUUCAGUUGUAUCAAUUGUAUUUCAUUUCUUUGUGUUAAUAUUUCUUUUGUAUAUUUUUGAUGUCAAUUCUUUGUUAUUCUUUAAUAGGUAAGUAUUUAAAGUGGAUAAAAUCAUUUGUUAUUUCAGGACCAUCUGAUUCUGCCGAAUAUCCCUAGCACUGUCGCCACUGGGAAUCAACCCUGCUCUUCUAUUCCUGUUACAAAAGAUGAAACCUACGCCGGUGUUAUUGCAUCUGCUAUAACAAGGGAGCACAAUUACAGCGUGAACUCAAAUCGAAAGAUAUUAAAAGGUGCUCAAAAACGAAAGCCCCUGUACCCUGAGCCAGCAAAAACAAAUCGACUCGAAAUAAGACGCCUGCAGUCCGAAAUAUAUCGAUUGCGUAAAAAAGGAGCUUCAUUUAAGCAACGUUUAGAAACGGCACAAAAGUUUUCCGAAGAUGUCUCUUUCCAAAGAGUUAUAAAAAAAUUGCAAAGACCUGCUCAACUAUUCCUCCGCAUGCAGCUGCAGUCAAAGAAGAAACCGAAAGGUAGACGAUUCACCA